rnacentral:rRNA from 1 species
GAGCAAUCUGCCCCUGACUCUGGGAUAACAGUUGGAAACAGCUGCUAAUACCGGAUACGAGACGUGACCGCAUGGUCGACGUUUGGAAAGAAUUUCGGUCAGGGAUGAGCUCGCGGCCUAUCAGCUUGUUGGUGAGGUAAUGGCUCACCAAGGCGUCGACGGGUAGCCGGCCUGAGAGGGUGACCGGCCACACUGGGACUGAGACACGGCCCAGACUCCUACGGGAGGCAGCAGUGGGGAAUAUUGCACCAUGGGCGAAAGCCUGAUGCAGCAACGCCGCGUGAGGGACGACGGCCUUCGGGUUGUAAACCUCUUUUAGCAGGGAAGAAGCGAAAGUGACGGUACCUGCAGAAAAAGCGCCGGCUAACUACGUGCCAGCAGCCGCGGUAAUACGUAGGGCGCAAGCGUUAUCCGGAAUUAUUGGGCGUAAAGAGCUCGUAGGCGGUUUGUCGCGUCUGCUGUGAAAACUGGAGGCUCAACCUCCAGCCUGCAGUGGGUACGGGCAGACUAGAGUGCGGUAGGGGAGAUUGGAAUUCCUGGU